GGAUAACUUACCCUUUAGGACUGGGAUAACUCUGGGAAACUGGGGAUAAUACUGGAUAUUAGGCUAUGCCUGGAAUGGUUUGCCUUUGAAAUGUUUUUUCGCCUAAGGAUAGGUCUGCGGCUGAUUAGGUCGUUGGUGGGGUAAUGGCCCACCAAGCCGAUGAUCGGUACGGGUUGUGAGAGCAAGGGCCCGGAGAUGGAACCUGAGACAAGGUUCCAGACCCUACGGGGUGCAGCAGGCGCGAAACCUCCGCAAUGUACGAAAGUGCGACGGGGGGAUCCCAAGUGUUAUGCUUUUUUGUAUGACUUUUCAUUAGUGUAAAAAGCUUUUAGAAUAAGAGCUGGGCAAGACCGGUGCCAGCCGCCGCGGUAACACCGGCAGCUCGAGUGGUAGCUGUUUUUAUUGGGCCUAAAGCGUUCGUAGCCGGUUUGAUAAGUCUUUGGUGAAAGCUUGUAGCUUAACUAUAAGAAUUGCUGGAGAUACUAUUAGACUUGAAGUCGGGAGAGGUUAGAGGUACUACCGGGGUAGGGGUGAAAUCCUAUAAUCCUGGGAGGACCACCUGUGGCGAAGGCGUCUAACUGGAACGAUCUUGACGGUGAGUAACGAAAGCCAGGGGCGCGAACCGGAUUAGAUACCCGGGUAGUCCUGGCCGUAAACGAUGUGGACUUGGUGUUGGAAUGGCUUUGAGUUGUUCCGGUGCCGAAGGGAAGCUGUUAAAUCCACCGCCUGGGAAGUACGGUCGCAAGACUGAAACUUAA
rnacentral:rRNA from 1 species